rnacentral:rRNA from 1 species
AAGCGGCGAACGGGUGAGUAACGCGUGAGAAUCUACCCUUGAGUGGAGGAUACCUUCGAGAAAUCGGAGUUAAUCCUGCAUAAGUCCUGAAAAGGAGAAAGGCGGCUUUUAGCUGUCGCUGAAGGAUGAGCUUGCGUACUAUUAGCUAGUUGGUGGGGUAAAGGCCUACCAAGGCGAUGAUGGUUAGCCGGCCUGAGAGGGUGUACGGCCACACUGGAACUUAGACACGGUCCAGACUCCUACGGGAGGCAGCAGUGAGGAAUAUUGCGCAAUGGGCGAAAGCCUGACGCAGCGACGCCGCGUGAAGGAUGAAGGUCUUAGGAUUGUAAACUUCUGUUAAGUGGGAAGAAAAGCUACGUUUUAAUAAAACUGUAGUAAUGACGGUACCAUUAGAGAAAGCACCGGCUAACUUCGUGCCAGCAGCCGCGGUAAUAAUACUUCU